GACGAACGCUGGCGGCGUGCCUAAUACAUGCCAGUUGAGCGCUGAAGGUUGGUACUUGUACCAACUGGAUGAGCAGCGAACGGGUGAGUAACGCGUGGGGAAUCUGCCUUUGAGCGGGGGACAACAUUUGGAAACGAAUGCUAAUACCGCAUAAAAACUUUAAACACAAGUUUUAAGUUUGAAAGAUGCAAUUGCAUCACUCAAAGAUGAUCCCGCGUUGUAUUAGCUAGUUGGUGAGGUAAAGGCUCACCAAGGCGAUGAUACAUAGCCGACCUGAGAGGGUGAUCGGCCACAUUGGGACUGAGACACGGCCCAAACUCCUACGGGAGGCAGCAGUAGGGAAUCUUCGGCAAUGGACGAAAGUCUGACCGAGCAACGCCGCGUGAGUGAAGAAGGUUUUCGGAUCGUAAAACUCUGUUGGUAGAGAAGAACGUUGGUGAGAGUGGAAAGCUCAUCAAGUGACGGUAACUACCCAGAAAGGGACGGCUAACUACGU
rnacentral:rRNA from 1 species